UCCUGCUUUUGUCAUGGAGUGACACAUGAAAUGAGUUUUGUCAAUAUUAAGAGAUAAUAAACUAAAAUCCAGCCAUUUUUUAACCCCAACAAGAGCUUGUUCGGCCUUUUGAAACACUUCAUCCCACGUGCCACCCCCAACCAUGAGAGCUGUAUCAUCAGCGUAACAGACAACUUGCACACUUGUUAUUACCGAAAAUAUCCAUAUAGAGAGUGAACAAUAUUGGACCAAGGACCGUGCCCUGUGGCACACCACACCUCACUGGAAUUUUACUACUGUGAAUCUCGCCUAUCUUAACUUGCUGCUUCUAAGCGUUCCAUCAAGAUGUGGUGCGGCACAGUAUCAAAGGCCUUAGCCAGGUCCAGGAAGAUUGUCAUACAUUUGGUAUUGGUGUUAAAAGCAUUUAUUAUGUCGUCAGCUACUCUGACUAAAGCAUCCUCAGUUCCCAUUCUCGUCUUAAAACCAUAUUGAUUUGCAUUAAGGUAAACUCCAGACCCAAAGAUAGUAUUUACCAGAUGUAAAAGAGGCACUAUCAAGUAUCUGUUAUAAUUCUUAAUAAAAUUAUUAGAUAUGCCAUCAUCAACAUUUGAAUCACUAUUUCCCAAAGAUCCAAUUAUAGUAAUAAGUUCACUUUCGACAAUAGGUUUAAGAAAAAAACUACUUUUACGGUUUUUUUGAAGAUUAAUAACAUAGUUUUGAGGUUUUUUUAUUUUAGCGGCUAGUGUUUGCCCCACCGUACUAAAGUAUUUAUUAAAUUCCUCUGAUAUUUUUUGAUCUGUUGUUACCAAACCUGACUCCCCCAUUACACUAGUUACUUUCAGCUUAGCUGAGUUUUGAUUGGUGACAUAUUUUAUGUUAUUCCACAACUCUUUUGGGUUUUGUUUACAUGUUUCAAAAAUUUGCCUAAAAUAUACAGCUUUAGCUUUACUCAGUAUUUUUGUCAAUAUUUUUCUGUAAUUUACAAACAUUUCCUUGGCAUUUAAAUUAUUUGGGUUUAAAGCUGAUAUCUUUUUUAACCUAUCUCUUUCUCUUAUACACCUUAAUAAAUUACCCGUCAACCAAGAUUUCUUCUUUCUAUAUUUACAUUUAAUAUAAGAUUCUUUUGUAGAUAAACUAAUGUAUGAUUUUAAUUUUUCAAUAAAUAAGUGGGCACAUUUA